AGUCGAGCGCAGGAAGCAAGCUGAUCCCCUUCGGGGGUGACGCUUGUGGAAUGAGCGGCGGACGGGUGAGUAACACGUGGGCAACCUGCCUGUAAGACUGGGAUAACCCCGGGAAACCGGGGCUAAUACCGGAUAAUACUUUCUUUUGCAUAAAGGAAAGUUGAAAGGCGGCUUCGGCUGUCACUUACAGAUGGGCCCGCGGCGCAUUAGCUAGUUGGUGAGGUAACGGCUCACCAAGGCGACGAUGCGUAGCCGACCUGAGAGGGUGAUCGGCCACACUGGGACUGAGACACGGCCCAGACUCCUACGGGAGGCAGCAGUAGGGAAUCUUCCGCAAUGGACGAAAGUCUGACGGAGCAACGCCGCGUGAGUGAUGAAGGUUUUCGGAUCGUAAAACUCUGUUGUUAGGGAAGAACAAGUUGGGUAGUAACUGACCCAACCUUGACGGUACCUAACCAGAAAGCCACGGCUAACUACGUGCCAGCAGCCGCGGUAAUACGUAGGUGGCAAGCGUUGUCCGGAAUUAUUGGGCGUAAAGCGCUCGCAGGCGGUCCUUUAAGUCUGAUGUGAAAUCUCGCGGCUCAACCGCGAACGGUCAUUGGAAACUGGAGGACUUGAGUACAGAAGAGGAGAGUGGAAUUCCACGUGUAGCGGUGAAAUGCGUAGAGAUGUGGAGGAACACCAGUGGCGAAGGCGACUCUCUGGUCUGUAACUGACGCUGAGGAGCGAAAGCGUGGGGAGCGAACAGGAUUAGAUACCCUGGUAGUCCACGCCGUAAACGAUGAGUGCUAGGUGUU
rnacentral:rRNA from 1 species